rnacentral:rRNA from 1 species
GUGGGGAAUCUUGCGCAAUGGGCGAAAGCCUGACGCAGCCAUGCCGCGUGAAUGAUGAAGGUCUUAGGAUUGUAAAAUUCUUUCACCGGGGACGAUAAUGACGGUACCCGGAGAAGAAGCCCCGGCUAACUUCGUGCCAGCAGCCGCGGUAAUACGAAGGGGGCUAGCGUUGCUCGGACUUACUGGGCGUAAAGGGCGCGUAGGCGGACAGUUAAGUUGGGGGUGAAAGCCCGGGGCUCAACCUCGGAACUGCCUUCAAGACUGGCUGGCUUGAGUAUGAGAGAGGUGUGUGGAACUCCGAGUGUAGAGGUGAAAUUCGUAGAUAUGCGGAAGAACACCAGUGGCGAAGGCGACACACUGGCUCAUUACUGACGCUGAGGCGCGAAAGCGUGGGGAGCGAACAGGAUUAGAAACCCGUGUAGUCC